rnacentral:rRNA from 1 species
AGUGAACGCUGGCGGUAGGCCUAACACAUGCAAGUCGAACGGCAGCACAGUAAGAGCUUGCUCUUACGGGUGGCGAGUGGCGGACGGGUGAGGAAUAUAUCGGAAUCUACUUUUUCGUGGGGGAUAACGUAGGGAAACUUACGCUAAUACCGCAUACGACCUACGGGUGAAAGCAGGGGAUCUUCGGACCUUGCGCGAUUGAAUGAGCCGAUGUCGGAUUAGCUAGUUGGCGGGGUAAAUGCCCACCAAGGCGACGAUCCGUAGCUGGUCUGAGAGGAUGAUCAGCCACACUGGAACUGAGACACGGUCCAGACUCCUACGGGAGGCAGCAGUGGGGAAUAUUGGACAAUGGGCGCAAGCCUGAUCCAGCCAUACCGCGUGGGUGAAGAAGGCCUUCGGGUUGUAAAGCCCUUUUGUUGGGAAAGAAAAGCAGCAGGUUAAUACCCCGCUGUUCUGACGGUACCCAAAGAAUAAGCACCGGCUAACUUCGUG